AUUGCUUCUUGGCCUUUUGGCUGAGAUCAAGUGUAGUAUCUGUUCUUAUCAGUUUAAUACCUGAUGUGCCCUCUACCUGAGGACGGUACGUGAGAUGGAGCUUUGAAAUAUUUAGGAAUAGAAGCUUGCUCCGUCCACUCCAUAUAGAUCCAGCACCUCCAGGAAUGGUGUCCCACCU
rnacentral:snRNA from 1 species